rnacentral:rRNA from 1 species
GUUCUACCUUGACGAAUUGUAGUUUAAAGAAGUGUUUUCUGUUGGAGUUUUGGUAAAAGUUCUUUGGAAUAGGACAUCAUAGAGGGUGAGAAUCCCGUAUUUGACCAUUAUUUCCAACUUUGUGAUACACUUUCAAAGAGUCGGAUUGUUUGGGAAUGCAGUCCAAAAUGGGUGGUAAAUUUCAUCUAAAGCUAAAUACUGGCGAGGGACCGAUAGCGAACAAGUACCGUGAGGGAAAGAUGAAAAGAACUUUGAAAAGAGAGUUAAACAGUACGUGAAAUUGUCAAAAGGGAAGCGUUUGACACCAGUGUUGUUUUCUCGAAAAUCAAUUAAAAAUGGCGGGAUUUUGUGUUGUAUUGACUUUAUCAGCUUUCUGCACUUUUUUCCUGUCUUUUUU